rnacentral:tRNA from 1 species
CUGCCGCGAGGCGGUGGGCGCGGGUGCCUGCGGGGUGUCCGUGGUGCUCGCGCUCGCCACGGCCGCCGUUCCGGCCGCGAUGCCGCCAGCC